UACGGGGGGAGCAAGCGUUGUUCGGAUUUACUGGGCGUAAAGGGCGCGUAGGCGGCGCGGUAAGUCGGGUGUGAAAUCUCGGAGCUUAACUCCGAAACUGCAUUCGAUACUGCCGUGCUUGAGGACUGGAGAGGAGACUGGAAUUUACGGUGUAGCGGUGAAAUGCGUAGAUAUCGUAAGGAAGACCAGUGGCGAAGGCGGGUCUCUGGACAGUUCCUGACGCUGAGGCACGAAGGCCAGGGGAGCAAACGGG
rnacentral:rRNA from 1 species